ensembl:lncRNA LINC02751 long intergenic non-protein coding RNA 2751
GGCAACCCGCUUGAGUCAGCUUCUGCAUUGUGGAAGGUUUGUUCUUUCUCUCUUUGCAGUAAAUCUUACUGCUGCUCACUUUUUGGGUCCACACUGCGUUUAUUAGCUGCAACGCUCACCGCUAUGGUCUGCAGCUUCACUCCUGAAGCCAGCGAGACCACGAACCCACCAGAAUGAAGAAACUCCGAACACAUCCAAACAUCAGAAGGAACAAACUCCGGACAGGCGGCCUUUAAGAACUGUAACACUCACCUCGAGGGUCUGCGGCUUCAUUCUUGAAGUCAGUGAGACCAAGAACCCACCAAUUCCGGACACAAUGUUACUCCAGAUAAUCAGCGCCAUUUUCUGAAGCUUGAGAUGCAGGAAAAGAGGAGUGCUAUCCAUUAGAUGGAGACAGGAAGUAGAAAAAGAGCUUAAAGUUUUGGCUUGUGUUACUUCCUUGGGGAGAUCUUGCUGGACCACAUCAGGAAUAGGAGGGGUGUGUCCCCACAGCACUGUGUACACGGAAAUGCAGAUGAUAACUCCUGCCUCCAGACCCCUCUCUGAGAUGAUUCUGAGACACAUAUAAAUGGGCUUUGCAAACUGUGGGCAGUAGAUGUGAGAACUCUUCAUCUUCCAGACAGGAUCCAAGGUCCUUUGGAAGGGACAGUGAGCGGACUGCAUCCUGCUUGCAUGAAGACCCUGAUUCCCUCAAAUGUUGAAAGAGGUUGAAUUUACAAAUAAAUUAAGAAAUUAAGAGCAAA